GAUGAACGCUGGCGGCGUGCCUAAUACAUGCCAGUCGAGCGAACGGACGAGAAGCUUGCUUCUCUGAUGUUAGCGGCGGACGGGUGAGUAACACGUGGAUAACCUACCUAUAAGACUGGGAUAACUUCGGGAAACCGGAGCUAAUACCGGAUAAUAUUUUGAACCGCAUGGUUCAAAAGUGAAAGACGGUCUUGCUGUCACUUAUAGAUGGAUCCGCGCUGCAUUAGCUAGUUGGUAAGGUAACGGCUUACCAAGGCAACGAUGCAUAGCCGACCUGAGAGGGUGAUCGGCCACACUGGAACUGAGACACGGUCCAGACUCCUACGGGAGGCAGCAGUAGGGAAUCUUCCGCAAUGGGCGAAAGCCUGACGGAGCAACGCCGCGUGAGUGAUGAAGGUCUUCGGAUCGUAAAACUCUGUUAUUAGGGAAGAACAUAUGUGUAAGUAACUGUGCACAUCUUGACGGUACCUAAUCAGAAAGCCACGGCUAACUGCGUG
rnacentral:rRNA from 1 species